rnacentral:rRNA from 1 species
ACUCCUACGGGAGGCAGCAGUGGGGAAUAUUGCACAAUGGGCGCAAGCCUGAUGCAGCCAUGCCGCGUGUAUGAAGAAGGCCUUCGGGUUGUAAAGUACUUUCAGCAGUGAGGAAGGUGGGUAUGUUAAUAGCAUAUUCAUUUGACGUUAGCUGCAGAAGAAGCACCGGCUAACUCCGUGCCAGCAGCCGCGGUAAUACGGAGGGUGCGAGCGUUAAUCGGAAUUACUGGGCGUAAAGCGCAUGCAGGUGGUUUGUUAAGUCAGAUGUGAAAGCCCGGGGCUCAACCUCGGAAUUGCAUUUGAAACUGGCAAACUAGAGUACUGUAGAGGGGGGUAGAAUUUCAGGUGUAGCGGUGAAAUGCGUAGAGAUCUGAAGGAAUACCGGUGGCGAAGGCGGCCCCCUGGACAGAUACUGACACUCAGAUGCGAAAGCGUGGGGAGCAAACAGGAUUAGAUACCCUGGUAGGCGUG